rnacentral:lncRNA from 1 species
AUAACCUUUGGGAUCCGUUGGCGGAUGGAUCAUCUUUUUGUUAGGAUAAAUAGGUUGAGGAAAGAGAGAUCAGAGCUAGACUGAGAGAGUUGUAAGCCGAGAGCCAGACUGUGAGAGUCGUAAGCCGGAGUAAGCUUGGUGCUACCUCUUUAUUUUUUUUAUUAUUUGCUUAUGAAGAAUUGUGAUUGAGAGAAGUAUUGUUGAAUUGAUAAUGGUAGAAUGGAUUAUGGGUUGAAUUAAGAUGGAAGUAGUAAGCCUCGGUGUUUUGUAGUUUGAUACUUGAUUUCAAAUAGCCAGAAUACAGUCAAUUGUGACACUAAUAGACCCAAUUAAUAUAAUCAGUCUUUCCCCGUGUUUGAACCCACCUCUAUUAGUUU